GCUCCGCCCCGGCGUCUUCGGGCGGGGAGGGAGACCAGGGCGCGCUUCUGCCCUCCCGGCGUGAGGGCUCUGCGCCGGGCCUCCCAGCGCAGGGGCGGGCCGGCUCCCUGCGGCCGGCGCUGGGGGCCUCGCUGACUGGGUCCCGCCCCUCAGGCCUCUCAGCUUCAGGGAUGUGACAUGAACGCCCUUUGUGACCCCCUCCCCGCCCCCCGCACCCCAAGCCAAGCCCAGGCAGCAGCUCAGGGAGGGGCCAGGCCACCGGUUACAGUCACAGUACCCGCCUCUCAGCUCAGCGGCCGCGGUGACUGGCAACAAGAUGACGUCAUGACCUCUGACCCCUCAGCAGGAGGCCCUGCGUUGGAGGGAAGGAGAGUUACUGACGUCAGUGGGCGGUGGUCAGGCUAACUGCCCUGGAAGUGAGCCUGGGGACCUGCAGGAAGGGGGAGCGGUGAUCCCUGGCUCCCCUGAGCUGUAGACGCUCUCCUUGCCCACCUCCCGGUCAUGUCCCCAUCCUCCCCCCCCCCAAUAACGGGCUGGACCUGGGCCUGUUCUACUUCCCCCGGCUCAUGAGGCUCAUCAGGGGCUCAUAUCAGCCCCCAAGAGCCAAGGUCAGCAGAGGGGGGACACAGUCCUGCCUUUUACUAGUGAGUACACGUCAAAUGAUCGAUGAUGAUUAAGUGCUCACAACAAAUGCCUGGAGGAUCCAGCGGCUUUCUGUAGGGCGCGUCCUCCUGCUUCAGGGGAGGAAGGCCCGUCCCCGGCUUCCUGCCGGUCCCGCAUCUGUUUGUGAGCUUUGCGCCUCCUCCGGGCUCUGGCAUCUGUUACCUCCAUGCAACACGGGGUCAAACCCUAUGGUUUUCCCAGUAGUCACGUACAGAUGUGAGAGUUGGCCCCUAAAGAAGGCUGAACACUGAAAAUUGAUGCUUUUGAACUGUGGUGCUGGAGAAGACUCUUGAGUCCCUUGUACAGCAAGGAGAUCAAACCAGUCAAUCCUAAAGGAAAUCAACCCUGAAUAUACAUUGGAAGGACUGGUGCUAAAGCUCCAAUACUUUGGCCACCUGAUGGGAAGACCUGACUCAUUGGAAAAAACCCUGAUGCUGCGAAAGACUGAAGGCAGGAGGAGAAGGGGACGAUAGAGGAGGAGAUGGUUGAAUGGCAUCACUGACUUAAUGGACAUGUGUGGGGCCCUAAAUGGGAAACCUUGAAAAAAGAAGGGCUAGCUUUGCGGUUUAGAGCUAAGAUGGCGCCUGGCGGAAGAGAUGAGGGCGUGGCCUAAGUUGUUUGUUAAAACUUUUGAUUGGCGCUCUUGAUUUCCAUGCACGUGGACAGCGGGUGAUCACCAUAGACUGUUGUUACAAUGAAGCGCAUAACGACUUGACCUUUAACGUGAUUGGUGCAACUAUGGCAUAUUACAAUUUGACCUUUAACGUGAUUGGUGCAACCUUCGCAAAACCCCCUUGCUUGCCUAUAUAAACCAAGAGUUUGUGGCAAUAAAGCGGAACUACUUAGACGGAACCCCUGUCGCGUCUGAUUGUCUCUCACUCUCGGAGGGGCUGGGUUGGGGACAGCAGGCUCACCUCUCCUCGGGACCCCUCGGCUUUGCUGAGGGAAGUUCCACUGCCUCUCUUUCUGCGGAGCGCCCCCUGCAGGCAUGGACUUGAGCAAACUCUGGGAGAUGGAGAAGGACA
ensembl:lncRNA